UGCUCAUUGAUAGUUGCCCAUCAAUGAAAUUAGGGCUAGCUGUACCCGAGCAACCAACUCAGAUCUCACUUUUACCAGCCACAUCAAAGCCUUCACCAAAACAGCUCCCUGUCAUCUUAUUAUGUAUAUAUAUAUAUUUAUAUUAUUUAUGUAUUUUUUGUUUUUUUUAUCUUUUUUUAAAUUUAGGGUUAGUUAUUAAUUAUUAAUUAAUUUAUUUUUCUUCUCAUUUUUACAUUUGUUUUGUUUCGCACUCCUACGCACUUUGUCUUCAUUUUUUUCCUUAGGACGUUCCUUUUGUGUUGAUUCAUUGAAAGCACCUUGAAUUGCCUCUGAGUUUGAAAGGUGCUAUAUAAAUACUACUGAAAGGUGCUAUAUAAAUGCAUGUGCCUUGCCUAUUUAUAUCUCAUUCUUCUGCUCAUGGCAGUCAUAUUUUGAAGACUGGUCAGGGUUUACCAUUCCACAAUGGUUCCACAUCUGUUGGACAUAAUAGUCCAUAAACCUUCCAUGCAGCACCAAAAUUGUGUGGAUUGCACAUUGUGUGGAUUCACACCUCCAGGACAUCCUAAAACCUAAUCCUUGAGCUUUAUCCUCACCAGAAAAUCCUCCUGGAUGAUGGCUUCACUACCAGAAACCGA
ensembl:lncRNA